GUUUCAAAGUUUAGCAUGAAAUUUAGCCUCGUCAUUCCGGACGCUCCAGCGUUCUAUGAGCGCCGGUCUUGUCUCCCCCAGCUAGACUGUGAGCGUCCCCAGGGCAGGGACCCGCACUCCCACUUCUUCGGCAUUCGGCGACUUUUAUGUGCUAUGUGCCCAGUCCGGUGCUAGCUUCCGUGGGAGAUACAGAUUUCGGCUAUGGAAAGGGGACAUGUACUAAGCAAGGUCCAUCAGGAGCCCAGGAGACGCGUUUUGGAGAUGACAAACUUGAAGACCUUGAAGAGGCAAAUCCAUUCUCCUUUAAAGAAUUUCUGAAAACCAAGAACCUUGGCCUGUCCAAAGAAGACACAACCAACAGAAUUUAUUCAAAGGAAGCCUCGAGGCACUCACUGGGACUGGACCACAACUCCCCAACCUCCCAACCCGUGGGGUAUGGCCUGGAAUAUCAGCAGCCGUUUUUUGAAGACCCGACAGGGGCUGGCGACCUCCUGGACGACGAAGAGGAUGAGGACGAUGGCUGGACUGGGACCUAUCUGCCUCCCGCCACGGAGCAGACGCACUCAGCGAGGGUCACCACCAGCACGUCGCCCUCUGGCACGUACCUUUCAUUUUUCCCCACCCCGUCUGAGCUGGCGGGGCCCAAGUCUCCACCUUCCUGGACGUUGAGUGACACUGACCCUCGUGCGUCUCCGGCGUCUCCAGCAGGGAGGCCCAGCGCAGACUUCGCGGGUCACGGAGAGUCUCUGGGAGAUCGGCACUUGCGGACGCCGCAGACAAGUUACGAGGCACUGAAAGAUGGAAAUUCUAAGCUAAGAAGAAAGCUGAAUGAGGUUCAGAGCUUCUCUGAAACUCAAACAGAAAUGGUGAGGACGCUUGAGCGGAAACUAGAAGCAAAAAUGAUCAAGGAGGAGAGUGGCUUCCAUGACCUGGAGUCGGUGGUUCAGCAGGUGGAGCAGAACCUGGAGCUCAUGACAAAACGGGCUGUAAAGGCAGAAAAUCACGUCAUGAAACUAAAGCAGGAAAUAAAUUUGCUCCCGGUGGUGGUCUCCAACUUCAAACGAGAGAACGAAGCCCCGCGGUCUGGCCAGGGCGCCAGCCUGACUGUGGUGAAGCAGAACACCGACGUGGCCUUGCAGAACCUCCGCUUGGUCAUGAACAGCGCACAGGCUUCCAUAAAGCAGCCGGUUUCUGGAGCCGACACGUUGAAUCUUGUUGCUGAGAUCCUUAAAUCCAUAGACAGAAUUUCUGAGCUUAAAGACGAGGAGGAAUCUUGAGAAGCUCUGCGACGCUGUCAGCUUGAUGCUCCGUGCACAUCCUGAGGACACUCCCACUUCAUCUGAGUGUGCAACUGUGUCUGCCACUGUGCAGUCUUAACCCAGAGUAAAGUAUUUAUCG